GACAGAGGUGCCGAGCGUUAGGCGGAAUCACUGGGCUUAAAGCGUGUGUAGGCGGACUUCUAAGUACCUUGUGAAAUCCCACGGCUCAACCGUGGAACUGCUUGGUAUACUGGUUGUCUUGAGCCACUUAGGGGCAGUCGGAACAGACGGUGGAGCGGUGAAAUGCGUAGAUAUCGUCUGGAACGCCAAAGGUGAAAACAACUCGCUGGGGAAGUGCUGACGCUGAGACACGAAAGCCAGGGGAGCGAACGGG
rnacentral:rRNA from 1 species